UACGUAGGGAGCAAGCGUUGUCCGGAAUCAUUGGGCGUAAAGCGCGCGUAGGCGGCCCGAUAAGUCCGCUGUAAAAGUCAACGGCUCAACUGUUGAAAGCCGGUGGAUACUGUCGGGCUAGAGUACGGAAGAGGCAAGUGGAAUUCCUGGUGUAGCGGUGAAUGCGCAGAUAUCAGGAGGAACACCUAUAGCGAAGGCAGCCUUGCUGGGACGUUACUGACGCUAAGGCGCGAAAGCGAUGGGGAGCGA
rnacentral:rRNA from 1 species